AGAGUUUGAUCCUGGCUCAGGAUGAACGCUGGCGGCGUGCUUAAUACAUGCAAGUCGAGCGAACGGACGAGAAGCUUGCUUCUCUGAUGUUAGCGGCGGACGGGUGAGUAACACGUGGAUAACCUACCUAUAAGACUGGGAUAACUUCGGGAAACCGGAGCUAAUACCGGAUAAUAUUUUGAACCGCAUGGUUCAAAAGUAAAAGACGGUCUUGCUGUCACUUAUAGAUGGAUCCGCGCUGCAUUAGCUAGUUGGUAAGGUAACGGCUUACCAAGGCAACGAUGCAUAGCCGACCUGAGAGGGUGAUCGGCCACACUGGAACUGAGACACGGUCCAGACUCCUACGGGAGGCAGCAGUAGGGAAUCUUCCGCAAUGGGCGAAAGCCUGACGGAGCAACGCCGCGUGAGUGAUGAAGGUCUUCGGAUCGUAAAACUCUGUUAUUAGGGAAGAACAUAUGUGUAAGUAACUGUGCACAUCUUGACGGUACCUAAUCAGAAAGCCACGGCUAACUACGUGCCAGCAGCCGCGGUAAUACGUAGGUGGCAAGCGUUAUCCGGAAUUAUUGGGCGUAAAGCGCGCGUAGGCGGUUUUUUAAGUCUGAUGUGAAAGCCCACGGCUCAACCGUGGAGGGUCAUUGGAAACUGGAAAACUUGAGUGCAGAAGAGGAAAGUGGAAUUCCAUGUGUAGCGGUGAAAUGCGCAGAGAUAUGGAGGAACACCAGUGGCGAAGGCGACUUUCUGGUCUGUAACUGACGCUGAUGUGCGAAAGCGUGGGGAUCAAACAGGAUUAGAUACCCUGGUAGUCCACGCCGUAAACGAUGAGUGCUAAGUGUUAGGGGGUUUCCGCCCCUUAGUGCUGCAGCUAACGCAUUAAGCACUCCGCCUGGGGAGUACGACCGCAAGGUUGAAACUCAAAGGAAUUGACGGGGACCCGCACAAGCGGUGGAGCAUGUGGUUUAAUUCGAAGCAACGCGAAGAACCUUACCAAAUCUUGACAUCCUUUGACAACUCUAGAGAUAGAGCCUUCCCCUUCGGGGGACAAAGUGACAGGUGGUGCAUGGUUGUCGUCAGCUCGUGUCGUGAGAUGUUGGGUUAAGUCCCGCAACGAGCGCAACCCUUAAGCUUAGUUGCCAUCAUUAAGUUGGGCACUCUAAGUUGACUGCCGGUGACAAACCGGAGGAAGGUGGGGAUGACGUCAAAUCAUCAUGCCCCUUAUGAUUUGGGCUACACACGUGCUACAAUGGACAAUACAAAGGGCAGCGAAACCGCGAGGUCAAGCAAAUCCCAUAAAGUUGUUCUCAGUUCGGAUUGUAGUCUGCAACUCGACUACAUGAAGCUGGAAUCGCUAGUAAUCGUAGAUCAGCAUGCUACGGUGAAUACGUUCCCGGGUCUUGUACACACCGCCCGUCACACCACGAGAGUUUGUAACACCCGAAGCCGGUGGAGUAACCUUUUAGGAGCUAGCCGUCGAAGGUGGGACAAAUGAUUGGGGUGAAGUCGUAACAAGGUAGCCGUAUCGGAAGGUGCGGCUGGAUCACCU
rnacentral:rRNA from 1 species